UUUAUACUAAAUCAUACACAUCACAUCAAGUCAUAUUCGACUCCCAAACACUAACCAAGCUUCUUUGCUUCUCAACGCUUUGAUGGUUUAGCCGAAGUCCAUAUGAGUCGUUGUGUUUGUAUCUUCUAACAAGGAAACACUACUUACGCUUUUAGGAUAAGAUUGUUGUUUAAGUUCUUAUACUUAAUCAUACACAUGACAUAAAGUCAUAUUCGACUCCAAAACACUAAUCAAGCUUCUUCUUGCUUCUCAAAGCUUUGUUAGUUUAGCCGAAGUCCAAAUGAGUAUUUAUCUUU
rnacentral:sRNA from 1 species